rnacentral:rRNA from 1 species
AGGACGAACGCUGGCGGCGUGCUUAACACAUGCAAGUCGAGCGGUAAGGCCCUUUCGGGGGUAUACGAGCGGCGAACGGGUGAGUAACACGUGAGCAAUCUGCCCUUCACUUCGGGAUAAGCCUCGGAAACGGGGUCUAAUACCGGAUAUGACUGCGCCAUGCAUGUGGUGUGGUGGAAAGUUCUGGCGGUGAGGGAUGGAGCUCGCGGCCUAUCAGCUUGUUGGUGGGGUAAUGG